rnacentral:lncRNA from 1 species
GUGUCUAUAAAUUGUAUCUUAUAAAUGAUUUUAUCAAUUUGAUCCUUCCUUGCUGAAUUUAAAACAUCUUACUGACCCCAAACUUUUGAAUGUAAUAGUGUUUAUAUACCCUCAGAAGUGUAUAUGUAACUCAAAAAAUAUAGAAAUAUAUAAAUUAAAGCAAAAAAAUAAAAAAUACACCAAAUAAAUAAAAAGAUAUGGAAACUCCUUAGAUUUUCAAAAUGACUCUGUUUCAUUCAAGGAUGUUUAUUAUAUCAUGUCAUUUCUUGGUUGAGUUGGCUUUGUCCUUUUUGUUUUGAAAGGUAAAAAUCCUACUGUAAUUUUUUUUUUUUAAAUCUUAAUUCAAGUGAUGAAGGAUUUUUAAAACCAUAAGGUUUACCCUGCCUGCUUUAAAUGUUUGAAACAGCUGAAAACAUUCAUUAGAAAUUUAGAAAACUAAUCAAAAAGUAAUCAGAUGUAAUAAGUUGCAUUACUUUAAUAAAGUAAUUGAAAUAGUUACACUACUUAUUACAUUUUAAAAAGGGUAAUUUGUAAUCUGUGACCUAUUACAUUUCUAAAGUAACCCUCCUAACACUGGGUAUUAAUGAAAGCAUUAAUGAUUUCAGCAUUUAGUCCAACAAAAACUGGUUAUGUUAUUAUUGCAGAAUCAAGCAAUGCAUCGUGACACCAUUUGUACUCAGAAAAAAAAAUUGCAGAGAGCUCCAGUUAUGUAAAGAAAACUUCAUUUAUUACUUUCAUUGCAUGACAUAAAUACUUGGUAGACUUCGAAAAGUUCUUCUUUACAUCUUAUUAGACUGAACCGGCCAUUACAAAAUAAGAACAAGCUUUGAAUAAAUAGAGUAUAUUCUCUCAUUGUGAUUCUCUUUAUACAGAAAACGUAAUUUUGUACACAUACAAUUUCAUUAUAUUUGUACUCUGUAAAAUAAAACAUCUGUAUAAUUUUAAGGACUCGUCUUAUUUUCAAUUAAUACAAAAAAACAAGGCAAAAAAAAAAAGAAUGAGAAUCGUAAGAGGGCACAAAUCAGAAACUGAGCUUAUCAACACAACAGGCUGGAAGUUGAGUCUGCCGUCCGAGGAAGUGCUGGACAUUUGGUCUCACUUCAAACCAAAAUACAAUCAAUCCCUCAGUAUCAUGCCGAUGUACAAUCAAUCAUUCCUGAGGAACAGUCAUGAUAUCAAAACAGGAAGCAACCACAAAAAUGACAACUGAUCUGUUCGGCAAAUGUCUACUUGAUCAUACCGCUAAAUAACAAUGAGAAUCUGUAUACAACACUAUAUCAUAUCUACCCAGCACUGAUCCUAAUGCUAUAUCUGCAGUAUCUUUAGUGGCAUAGUGUGUCAGUGUCAGGUGUAGACCUCUAUCCCAAUACUGAAGGUCCUAGA